GCAUGAGAGCACAAGUCAUUACCGUUUACUUGGUGUCAUCAAGCUGUAAUGAUUCAGCUCUGAGAAGCUGCAUUUACAGUCAGCCAAAUGAAACACACAAGUACACGAUAUAAAACCAGACUGGAAGAAUUGCUGGAGUGUUAAUUUACUACCUGGUGUCUGUCUCCUGGAGGAAGAGGAACAAAAACUGGAAAGCAGUAGUCUCCCAGUGGAAUCUUGGCUGGAGGCUCACCAGUUCAUACCAGCCUUAUUUAUGAUGGUCUGUGGUGAUGCUGGAGCCUGCACAACCUCCUGCUGAAGAAGACCUGGCUAAUGCUGAUGCUCUACUACUGACCUCGUAUAUUUCCAGAUGCAGUCCAUGAGAACAUUUUGCCCUGCCUUUAAAAUACCAUAUACUGUACAUGUCAAGGUAACAUCCAGUCAUACUUCGCAUGGCAUGAGGCAGAAACAGGAUUUUCUAGCAGGGAGCGCUCGAGUUUUGACAUGGGCAGCAGUGGGAGAAUGCUAUGAACUUGCCUGGUGUAGCUUCAUUUUGUGUUGUGAUGCGACCCACCAGAUGAAAGAGGGCAUGAUUAAGGUAUAAAAAUAUUGUUAUGAAGUCCAUCCAGUUGUCCGGGCCACGUUCAUUGCAACCGAAACCCUCCGUGCUAUGGUCCAUCAAUGCACAAGAGUCACACCCACAGGCCCUCAGUCUGCCCCACUGAUGUCAGUCUGCUCCA